AAGGAGCGGCGAUUGAAUAAGAUGGAACUGAAAGAUCAUGAUGUGGUUGAGAAAUGCAACUCUGGGCUGCUUCUU